AUCAGUGAAACUGAUCUUCCCGUGAAGAAGCGGGAAUAUGUAUAUAAGACGAGAAGACCCCAUGGAGCUUUAAACCCAACAGCACCUAUUCUUUUUAAAUCCACCCAUUCAUAUAGUAAAUGCUUGUUUGUUUUAGGUUGGGGUGACCGCGGAGUAAAAAUUAACCUCCACGAAAAAGGGCAUAAAAGCCUUAUCAAAGAAUUACACUUCUAUGAAUUAGUAAACUAAUUUUUGAUGAUCCGAUAUUCGAUCAACGAACCAAGUUACCCUGGGGAUAACAGCGCAAUCCACCUCAAGAGCUCCUAUCGACAAGUGGGUUUACGACCUCGAUGUUGGAUCAGGGUACCCCAGUGGUGCAGCAGCUACUAAAGGUUCGUUUGUUCAACGAUUAAAACCCU
rnacentral:rRNA from 1 species